rnacentral:rRNA from 1 species
AAUCGUUUGAUCGAUGGAGUGACACAGUAAGGUAGGUCAGCACGCGAUUGGAAGUGCGUGUUUAAGCAGGUAGGUUGAGCUAUAGGUAAAUCCGUAGUUCUAAAAGCUGAGAUGUGAUGACGAGCGACUAGCAAUAGUCGCGAAGUGAUUGAUCCUACACUGUCGAGAAAAGCUUCUAGGUAGAGACACAUCGCCCGUACCAAAACCGACACAGGUAGGCGGGGAGAGAAUCCUAAGGUGCGCGGGAAAACCCUCGUUAAGGAACUCGGCAAAAUGCCUCCGUAACUUCGGGAAAAGGAGGACUCAUGUAGUGUGAAGAGCAGCAACGCAUGGAGCAUGAAUGAGUGGCACAAGAGAGGCGCAAGCGACUGUUUACCACAAACACAGGUGCCUGCUAAAGCGAAAGCUGAUGUAUAGGUGCUGACACCUGCCCGGUGCUGGAAGGUUAAGAGGAGGGGUUAGACUUCGGUCGAAGCUCUGAAUUGAAGCCCCAGUAAACGGCGGCCGUAACUAUAACGGUCCUAAGGUAGCGAAAUUCCUUGUCGGGUAAGUUCCGACCCGCACGAAAGGUGUAACGACUUGCGCACUGUCUCAACGAGGGACCCGGUGAAAUUGAAGUACCUGUGAAGAUGCAGGUUACCCGCGACUGGACAGAAAGACCCCAUGGAGCUUUACUGCAACCUAAGAUUGAACUUAGUUAAUGAAUGUACAGGAUAGGUGGGAGACGUAGAACCUAGGACGCUAGUUUUAGGGGAGUCGCUGUUGGGAUACCACCCUUUCAUUAAUUGAUUUCUAACGGGCCGAGUAACGACCGGCCGGACAGUCUUAGGCGGGCAGUUUGACUGGGGCGGUCGCCUCCAAAAGAGUAACGGAGGCGCCCAAAGGUUCCCUCAGAGCGGACGGAAAUCGCUCGAAGAGUGUAAAGGCAGAAGGGAGCUUGACUGCGAGACGGACAGGUCGAGCAGGGACGAAAGUCGGGCUUAGUGAUCCGGUGGUGCCGAGUGGAAGGGCCAUCGCUCAACGGAUAAAAGCUACCCUGGGGAUAACAGGCUAAUCUCUCCCAAGAGUCCAUAUCGACGGGGAGGUUUGGCACCUCGAUGUCGGCUCAUCACAUCCUGGGGCUGAAGUAGGUCCCAAGG